rnacentral:rRNA from 1 species
UACGAAGGGGGGCUAGCGUUGUUCGGAUUUACUGGGCGUAAAGCGCACGUAGGCGGAUUUUUUAAGUCAGGGGGUGAAAUCCCGGGGCUCAACCCCGGAACUGCCUUUGAUACUGGAAGUCUUGAGUAUGGUAGAGGUGAGUGGAAUUCCGAGUGUAGAGGUGAAAUUCGUAGAUAUUCGGAGGAACACCAGUGGCGAAGGCGGCUCACUGGACCAUUACUGACGCUGAGGUGCGAAAGCGUGGGGAGCAAACAGG